UUACUACUCCCUCCGUUCGGAAAUACUUGUCCUAGAAAUGGUUGUAUCUAGAUACAACCAUUUCUAGGACAAGUAUUUCCGAACGGACGGAGUAAGAU
rfam:Triticum aestivum genome assembly, contig: Triticum_aestivum_CS42_TGACv1_scaffold_486348_6AS